rnacentral:rRNA from 1 species
GAUUUCUGGUACGGUGCGCCUAGCCCAUGGGGUUAAACUCAUGAGUGCUGGUGUGCGUCUGCCAUCCUUCUAGAAAGCGAUGCUACCCUUCAUUGGACUGGUAUCGUAAUCUAGAUCUUUUACUUUGAAAAAAUUAGAGUGUUUAAAGCAGGCUAUUGCUAUGAAUACAUUAGCAUGGAAUAAUAAUCUAGGACUUCGGUUCUAUUUUGUUGGUUUCUAUAACUGAAGUAAUGAUUGAUAGGGAUAGUUGGGGGUGCUAGUAUUGGCCGGUCAGAGGUGAAAUUCUUGGAUUCGGUCAAGACUAACUUAUGCGAAAGCAUU